CAACCCGGAUGAAGACAUCCGGCUGAGCGAUCAGGAGUCAGCAGAGGCCAUAGUAGUUCUACUAUCCGGAACGAAGGGC
rnacentral:ncRNA from 1 species